GGGGAUAUUGCUCAGUUGGUAGAGUGCUUGGCUACCAUGCACAAGGCCCUGGGUUCAAUCCCCAGAACCCCCA
rnacentral:tRNA from 1 species